rfam:Loxodonta africana unplaced genomic scaffold scaffold_44, whole genome shotgun sequence.
CCAAAGGCUCUUUUCAGAGCCACUUAUGUUGUCUUCUAAAGAGUUG